CUCUGUUGUUGAUGACAUACAAUUAAUAACAAAGAAGUUGCGAGCAUUGUAUCUUCUCGAUGGUAUUGUGAAGAACAUUAGGCAGGUUCCAUUAAACACUUUUCGAACAAACUCCCCGAGGUUUUCUGUAAGACGUAUAGACAUGUUGAUUGUACCGUACAUUUAAUGGGA